UGCAAAGUUAUAAAAUGCAAUAGAUGUGCAAUCAAUCUACAAUUCAUAAAAGUUAGCUCGGCGAAACAAGCUGUGAAUUCUGCGAUGUAUUCAAUAAAAUUAAAUGUGAAAUUCUUAAUCUUGUUUAUUUACGCACUGGUGCAAAUUUGUUGUGGCAGUGUUCCAGCUAAAAACUUGAGUUGUGCCGCUGAUAAGGAGUUGGACAGGCAGUGUGAAACCUAUUGUUACCGUGUGGCUAAACCUCUCCUACAACACGCAUCUGACGUGUACUUAAAAGAACAAGAGUUUACAAAAUUACUGGCGAAAGUUCAACAACAAGAGAUCAUAAUCAAAAGCAUCCAAGCAGACCAAGCCAUUCUGCAAGCUAAACUUGAUGCUCAAAAUCAUUCAUUAACAUCAUGCCAAGGUCAGUUAGCCGAGAAAGAUGCGCUUAUCGAAAACAAGAAUUCUUAUAUCAAAGAAUUGCAAACUAAGCAAGAGAACAUAACCAACACCAUGCAAGUAGUUCAAGACAAUCUUCAAGAUAAAGUUGAUGCUCAAAAUCAUUCAUUAACAUUAUGCAAUGAUCUGUUAGCCACGAAAGAUGCGCUUAUCGAAUACAAGAAUUCUUAUAUCCAAGAAUUGCAAACUAAGCAAGAGAACAUAACCAAGACCAUGCAAGUAGUUCAACACAAUUUUCCAGCUAAAGUUGAUACUCAAAAUAAUUCAUUAACAUCAUGCCAAGGUCAGUUAGCCGAGAAAGAUGCGCUUAUCGAAAACAAGAAUUCUUAUAUCAAAGAAUUGCAAACUAAGCAAGAGAACAUAACCAAGAUCAUGCAAGUAGAUCAAGGCAAUCUUCAAGCUAAGGUUGAUGCUCAAAAUCAUUCAUUAACAUCAUGCAAAGGUCAGUUAGCCGUGAAAGAUGCGGUUAUCAAAAACAGGAAUUAUAAUAUCAAAAAAUUGCAAACUAAGCAAGAGAACAUAACCAAGACCAUGCAAGUAGAUCACGUCAAUCUUCAAGCUAAGGUUGAUGCUCAAAAUCAUUCAUCAACAUCAUGCAAAGGUCAGUUAGCCGAGAAAGAUGCGCUUAUCGAAUACAAGAAUGCUGAUAUCAUAGAAUUGCAAACUAGGCACGAGAACAUAACUAAGACCAUGCAAGUAGAUCAAAUAAAUCUUCAAGUUACGGUUGAUGUUCAAAAUCAUUCAUUAACAUUAUGCAAUGAUCUGUUAGCCACGAAAGUUGCGCUUAUCGAAUACAAGAAUGCUGAUAUCAUAGAAUUGCAAACUAGGCACGAGAACAUAACUAAGACCAUGCAAGUAGAUCAAAUAAAUCUUCAAGCUACGGUUGAUGUUCAAAAUCAUUCAUUAACAUUAUGCAAUGAUCUGUUAGCCACGAAAGAUGCGCUUAU